GAUGAACGCUGGCGGCGUGCCUAAUACAUGCAAGUCGAGCGAACAGAUGAGGAGCUUGCUCCUCUGACGUUAGCGGCGGACGGGUGAGUAACACGUGGAUAACCUACCUAUAAGACUGGGAUAACUUCGGGAAACCGGAGCUAAUACCGGAUAAUAUAUUGAACCGCAUGGUUCAAUAGUGAAAGACGGUUUUGCUGUCACUUAUAGAUGGAUCCGCGCCGCAUUAGCUAGUUGGUAAGGUAACGGCUUACCAAGGCAACGAUGCGUAGCCGACCUGAGAGAGUGAUCGGCCACACUGGAACUGAGACACGGUCCAGACUCCUACGAGAGGCAGCAGUAGGGAAUCUUCCGCAAUGGGCGAAAGCCUGACGGAGCGACGCCGCGUGAGUGAUGAAGGUCUUCGGAUCGUAAAACUCUGUUAUUAGGGAAGAACAAAUGUGUAAGUAACUAUGCACGUCUUGACGGUACCUAAUCAGAAAGCCACGGCUAACUACGUG
rnacentral:rRNA from 1 species